CUAUUUCCGCUCCGUUGUUGUUGUUUUUAUUAUCAUUAUUAUGCACUUUCACUGCUUGUGUAUUUACACAGAAGUCCAUGCACUGAGCAAAACAGUGUAAAUGCAACCGACUCCCCACAGUUUUUACAGCCUACAGUUCUACAGGAAAGUGUGGUGGAUGGAGGAGUGUUGGGUCAGAGGCUGAUGAAAAACCAACUCAUGAAGGUUUGGGAGAAAAAACUAGCCAUUGAUCGUCAAACAUCUAAAAAGAGUGCAGUUACUAUGAUUGCAUAUAUUAAAGUUGCUGCAUUUAAAAUGCUUUUAGCUGGACUCUGAGUAGUGCAGUGGUAAAGUGCUCCCUAGUUCGGUUCCCUGGUGAUGCUGUAACCUCUCGCAGCCAGAGAUCCAGACAGAGCUGAUCGGCCGAGCUCGCUCAGCGGGGAGGGAUGAGAGACCUGCAAGAGUUUGAAGGAGGAUGCAUGUUUUUCAGUGAGCACCUUGAAGUUUCAUCCAUCUCCCUCCCAAUGCCCUCUUCAACUGCUGUCUUGAACCUCAUCAAGAUGGGAGAUCAUUGCUGGUGUGCUUGUCUAGUCUGUUAAUGUUAAGCCUUACAGAAGUUUAUGUGUAAAUAGUUGCAUACUGCUGACUGUUGUAACUCACAUGUAUGCCUCUUAACCUUAUUGGUUCCAUCACAAUUUUUGAAGAUUAAUUUUCCAGGAUACUUGCUGUACCUGGGCUUAUGUAGACCUGCUGCAUCUGAAAAUACAAUUAAGUGCUAGAUGUAUUCUUGUUGCUAAUAUACUUGUAACUGGAGUAAACUAGCGUGCUCUUGCAGCAGAGGAGACGUUAAUGGCAAUCCUCUGAUUCUGUGGCAUGUGCACACCUUUUAUCAUACAACGGCAAAGAUCUAAACACUAGUCAACUUAAUGUAAAGGAAAUUACAGCUGAAAAGAGCCUUAAAACGUAGGAAAAAAUCUGAAAAGUUCUGCUUUACAAUGAUAUUAAGCAUGUUAAAAGACCCCCCUUACGUGCAGAUGCUAAUGAAGGAUUCAUGAAACGGUGCAGGGUUAACCUCUGACUCUACUGUAUAGGCCUUCAAUAAGAGUGUACCAUGUUCUCACAGUGUAGUGCAUAAUCCCUACGGAACAUCUUUGGUCAUACAUGUACUGUAACCUUUAUCAUGCAUUGUUACCUUUUUAUUCACUGGCUUUUAUAGUUAAGGGACUUAAGUCUAGAAGUUGGGUCUUUUAACCAUCAUAUACUGAGAAGUUGGUCUCAACGAACCGCUGAAACUUGGAGUCAUAUUUAGGGCCUUUGCUGUUGUGUAAGAAAGACAAAACCAAGGAUCAUUUUACUUUUAUAUAAUGAAUUUAUUGAAUUAAUUUAAAAGAAAUAGGUUUUAAAAACCUUCAUGAGUGAUUUAAACUUUAAAACAUUUAAAUCACCCAACAUCUUUGUAUGAAAAAACCCAACAUGUCCGUAAAAGACCCUUUAACCAUUUAAGCAGGAUAAUUAUAAAUAUUUGUUAUGAAUGUAUGCAAAACCCAAUAUGGUCAAAGCCAACUUGCCCAGACCCAUAUUGCAAGACCCAAUAUGUUUUUCCUCAGACAUCGAGUUUUACAUACAUCUUAAACAUUUACAGUAAUCACUACCUGCACCAUACAGAUAUUAAUACAUGCAGUUAUCCUGGUUUUCUUACCUGAUCGCUGACAGAUUCUCCCUCCGUCGUUCAAUUAAAAGUUCAGAUUGGCUGGAGGGUCUGUCUACCACGCCUUUCCUACAUGUGCUUGUAUUGUGAUCAUGCCUCUAAAAGUCAAAAGCUUUUGUUCAGGCCUGGAUGCGUUUGGAUUCUUUUUUAAGAUAUUUUUAUGGCCUCUAUCCCUUCCUGGGUAUCAAUAUUAGUCAGAAAAAUGAUAUAAUGAUCCGGUUCAUUGUCAUGUCACUGGUUACGCAUGCGGAAGGGCUGUCCUCUGAGUUGGAUGGUUCCUCCAAUGUUUUUGUGAAAUAUAGCUUCACCUAAAAGUUUGGGGAAAAUAAUCUGUUCCCCACUGAUCCAGGGAUAAGGAAUGUGUUUACCCAGAAGUAAACCAUCUUAUCCCUUCUCAUCUUGCACUGUUUUUGAUA